CCAACAUGGUGAAACACCGUCUCUACUAAAUAUACAAAAAUUAGCCAGGCAUGAUAGUUCCUGCCUGUAAUCCCAGCUACUCAGGAGGCUGAGGCAGGAAAAUUGCUUGAACCCGGGAGGCCAAGGCUGCAGUGAGCUGAGAUCGCACCACUGCACUCCAGCCUGGGUGACAGGGCGAGACUCCAUCUCAAAAAAAAAAAAAAAAAAAAAAUUGGUAGGUUCUUCCCUCUCCGUGUGGCUGUUCAUGACCCCUCCAGCCUGCAUGGUUCUCCUCCUUUCUGCAUUACCCCAGCACUGGCCUGUGUCAUUUGCCAUGACCAGGGACACCCCUAGUAACAGAUGAAGGCUGAAUUUGAAGUCAAGUCUAUUUGGCUCCAGAACCUGUGCCCUCAGCUUCAAGGCCUUGUCCAGCUCCCCUGACAUAUUCACUGCUUCCCAUCCUUAUGCCCCAAGAGGAUUCGGGAUAGGAGCCAAGUGCAGGUCCCCUGCAGUAUUCUCCUUUCUGAACACCUUUAGAAGAACCACCAUAUUCAAAGAAAUCACAGGGACUGGCUACUGUGACAUCAAGGGCAAUGCAUGACCAGAUAAAUUCCUCUGGCAGUCACGAAAUAAGAUGGAGCCAAAGCCACCGGAGAAGAAGCUGUGAUGCAAGAGACAGCACAUGACGGGAAACAAUCCUCUGGCAGUGAGGCCUGAGAGCUGUCUGCACGAGCCAGGAAAAAGUUCCUGUCAUGGCAGAAUCUAGUGUAACUAACUGUAAAAUAUGACCCAAUGAAGAGGUAUGUCAGCAACAGACAGAGGCCUCCUUCAUGCUGCCCUUGGAGCAAUGAACAAAGCGAUAAAAUUACACUCCAGUGCAAGGGUGAAAAUAAUAACUACUUCAUAACCUUGUUUUAUUUAUUUAUUUAGAUGGAGUCUCGCUCUGUCGCCCAGGCUGGAGUGCAAUGGCGCCAUCUCAGCUCACUGCAACCUCCACCUCCUGGAUUCAAGCGAUUCUCCCGCCUCAGCCUCCCGAAUAGCUGGGAUUACAGGCACGUGCCACCACGCCUGGCUAAUUUUUGUAUUUUUAGUAGAGACGGGGUUUCACCAUAUUGGUCAGGCUGGUCUCGAACUCCUGACCUCAGGUGAUCCACCCACCUUGGCCUCCCAAAGUGCUGAGAUUACAGGCAUGAGCCACUGCACCCAGCCCCAUAAACUUGUUUUAAAUUAACUAAUACACACUGUGCACUGAGGACUAUCCCUGGAAAAUAGCAAGUAUCUAAUAAAUGACAGCUAUAUUAUUAAUUAAAUUAUAGCGCCCAAAGUAGAAGGUUUUUCUUACCAUCUCUAUAUAAAGACAGAAAGUCUAGGGGGAAAAAUACAAAAUUUUUAAACCUUCAAAUAAUUUAUUUUAUUGGUCAAAAGUUAAAAAAAAAAUCAGGCGGGGUGCAGUGGCUCAUACCUGUAAUCCCAGCACUUUGAGAGGCUGAGGCAGGAGGACCACUUGAGGCUGGGAGUUCAAGACCAGCCCCGUCAACAUAACAAAAUCCCAUCUCUAAAAAAAAAAAAAAAAAAAAAAUUAAUUUUGAAAAUUAAAAAAAAUCACACUUGCAAUUAAUGCAACCUAAUUAAUGAAAAGAGUUAUUCAGAUCUAUUGUUGUAAGUAAAUAUUAAAUAUGUUAAUAGCUGGAAGUAAAAGAUUUCUGAAAAUUUAACUAUUGCUUCACCGAUUAUUUAUUCUAUGCCUAUUGUGUGUCAGGCACAAUAAGUUCAUUGCCCCCAUGGGGCAUAGAGAUUAGCAGCAGGAAAAUUGAAGAGUUAUACAAAUAUAACUUAUAAAGCUGAGAAGGAGUACAAACUGUGGGUGAGAGUUCACAGAAGUUCUUUGACUAAGUGAUAUUUAAGAUAAAACCUAAAGAAUAAUUUAUCUGGCCAGGUACGGUGGCUCAUGCCUAUAAUCUCAGCAAUUUGGGAGGCUGAGGCAGGUGGAUCACUUGAGGUCAGGAGUUUGAGACCACCCUGGCCACAUGGUGAAACCCCAUCCCUACUAAAAAUACAAAAAUUAGGCCAGGCACAGUGGUUCACACCUGUAAUCCCAACACUUUGGGAGGCUGAGGCAGGUGGAUCACCUGAGGCCAGGAGUUCAAGUCCAGCCUGGCCAACAUAGUGAAACGCCGUCUCUACUAAUAAUACAAAAAUUAACUUGGCAUGGUGGCGCAUGCUUGUAAUCCCAGCUACUCGGGAGGCUGAGGCACGAGAAUCGCUUGAACCCAGGAGGUGGAGGUUGCGGUGAGCCGAGAUUGCACUCCAGCCUGGGCAACAAGAGCGAAACUCCGUCUCAAAAAAAAAAAAUUAGCUGGGCAUGGUAGUGUGUGCAGUAGUCCCAGCUACUUAGGCAGCUGAGGCAGAAGACUCGCUUGAACCUAGGAGGCAGAGGUUGCAAUGAGUCACGAUUGUACCACUGCACUCCAGCCUGAGUGACAGAAUGAGACUCUGUCUCAAAAAAAAAAAAAAAGAAUAACUUAUCUAUGUUCAAGUUGGUGAGGUUAAGCUAAUAUAUUCCAGGCAAAAUUCCAAGAUGGAAGAAGAGUGGCUUCUUAUGGAAAGAACUGAGAGGCCAGUUUCUGGAACAGAAAGAAUGGGAGGUGGAAUGAGAUAUGUUAAACCUCAACAACUAGGCAGAGGGAUGAUCACACAGAGUCUCAUAGGUCUUAAGGAUUUGGGUUUUUAUCCUAAAGGCAACAAGAAACCUUUAAAGAGUGUAAGAAGAGGUCGGGGGUGGUGGCUCAUGCCUGUAAUCCCAGCACUUCUGGAGGCCGAGGCAAGUGGAUCACCUGAGGUCAGGAGUUCUAGAACAGCCUGGCCAACUGGUGAAACCCCGUCUCUACCAAAAAUACAAAAAUUAGCUGGGUAUGGUGGUGAGCACCUGUAAUCCCAGCUACUUGGGAGGCUGAGGCAUGAGAAUCACUUGAACCCAGGAGGUGGAGGUUGCAGUGAGCCGAGAUCACACCACUGCACUCCAGCCUGGGCCACAAGAGCAAAACUCUGUCUCAAAAAAAAAAAAAAAAAAAAAGAGUAUAAGGAGAGAAUCAACAUAAUCAAAUGUGCUUUAAUGGGAGGGUAAGAAGUUUUCACAGCAGUCUGCUUGAGAGAUGAUGGUUGUGGUGACGAUGAUACAGAGAGGCAAAUGGGUUGAAGAUGUAUUUAGGAGAUAGAAUGGGAAAGACUUGGUGAUUAAUUAAUGGGGAGGGGGCACAGUAAGGAAUCGGAAGCCAUCAAGUAGUCAAGGAAAAGUCAACAAUGACUCCUAGAUUUCUGGCUUGAGCAACUGAGGGGAUGGUGGUGCCCUUUACUAAAAUGGAGGACAGGCUGGAAGCAGUGGCUCACGCCUGUAAUCACAGCACUUUGGAAGGCCAAGGCGGGCAGAUCACAUGAGGUCAGGAGUUUGAGGCCAACCUGGCCAACAUGGUGAAACCCCGGCUCUACUAAAAAUACAAAAAUUAGCCUGGCGUGGUGGCGGGCACUUGUAAUCCCAGCUACUCGGGAGACUGAGGCAGGAGAAUCACUUGAGCCUGGGAGGCAGAGGUUGCAGUGAGCCGAGAUUGCACCACUGCACUACAGCCUGGGCAACAGAGUAAGACUCCGUCUCAAAAAAUAAAUAAAUAAAAUAAAAUAAAAUGUAGGACACUGAAGAAAGUAAGAAUUUCCAUUUUAGAAAAUAUUGAGCUUCUUCCCAUUUAUUUGCUGCUAUAGUCUCAUAAUGAUACAAGCAGUUAUAUGCAUGGGAUAAAAUAAUAUUGGGACAUUGUAAAUUGAAAUGAAGUAACCAUUUUCAUCUUUUCUGCAUGGACAAGACAUUGUUUUUGGUUUAAAAAAAAAGAAGAAGAAAGAAAAAAAAGAAACAAAAAGAAAAUCCUGAGCUUUGCAUGUCUAUUAUGACACAUGCUGUGAACAUGUCCAGUUGACCACUGGAUAGACAGUGAUGAAGGUCUAAGAAAAGUCUUUGCUGGAGUAAUCAAUUUAAGAAUCACCAGCAUGAAGAUGGUAAUGGGAGUCUCAAGAGUAAAUGGGAUCACCUAAGAAGCAUUUGCAGAGUGACAAGAACAGAGGAACUCAGGAUGGAGCCCUUAGGAACCCCAGCAUGUAAUAAACAGUACAGGAGGAAGAACCAUUGGAGGAGACUGAGGAGAUAAACCACAGUAGACAGAUCACCAGAAGGACACACCACAAAACCAGGGACAGAAGAGAGGUCAUGAAGGGGUGAUCGGCUGUGUCAAACAUUACUAAGACAUCGAGAUUUAAAUCCAGAUUGAAGUGUACAUUAGAUUUAGUAGCAUGGAAGUCUUUUUUAAUCUUAGUAUGAAUAAAGUACCCAAAUAACUAAGGCAAAGUUCUCUCAGGUAACCUCUUGAUCCCAGUCCACUUGUUUUGGGAACCAGGCUAUGCUUGUUUCCUAGAGUGGAAUUAAAAGUCAGCAUGGGUGGCACCUGGGGAGGCCGAGGUAGGCAGAUCACCUAAGGGCGGGAGUUCAAGACCAGCCUGACC
rnacentral:lncRNA from 1 species